rnacentral:rRNA from 1 species
UACAGAGGGUGCAAGCGUUUGUUCGGAAUUAUUGGGCGUAAAGCGCGUGUAGGCGGCUUUGCAAGUCGGGUGUGAAAGCCCUCAGCUCAACUGAGGAAGUGCGCCCGAAACUGCAGAGCUUGAGUACCGGAGAGGAUGGCGGAAUUCCCCAAGUAGAGGUGAAAUUCGUAGAUAUGGGGAGGAACGCCGGUGGCGAAGGCGGCCAUCUGGACGGAUACUGACGCUGAGACGCGAAAGCGUGGGGAGCAACAGG